AAGCGUUUUCUUGGGCUCGCGGCCGGUAGAAGUUCUUUGGAACAGGACAUCAUAGAGGGUGACAAUCCCGUCCGUGACCGGUCGUGCGUUCAUCUACGAUACGCUUUCAAAGAGUCGAGUUGUUUGGGAUUGCAGCUCCAAAUGGGUGGUAAACAUCACCUAAGGCUAAAUAUUGGCGAGAGACCGAUAGCGAACAAGUACCGUGAGGGAAAGAUGAAAAGAACUUUGAAAAGAGAGUUAAACAGUACGUGAAAUUGUUGAAAGGGAAACGAUUGAAGUCAGUCGUGCUGGCGCGAAAUCAACCAUCUCGUCUUGAGGUCGCAUGGCGCGACGAGCCUCAAAACCGUCACGAAGCGUGAACUCUUGACGAAAGGGUGCACUUUCGUGUCCGCUGGUUAACAUCAAUUUCGAUCGUCAUAAAAGGGCUGGAGGAUGUGGCUCCUUCGGGAGUGUUAUAACCUUUAGCGGAAUGUGGUGUUCGGGAUUGAGGAUUGCAACGAAUACCUUCAGGGCUGUUCCACCUGGCUUCUCAUUGGUAUCCUGGUGACGACAGCUUGC
rnacentral:rRNA from 1 species